AGUAUGUCUCUUAUAGACAGCAUAUAGUUGGAUUUUUAAACAAUUUUAUUGUCUUUUUAAAAUUUUAGAUUCAGUGGGUACAUGUGCAGGUUUGUUACAGGGGUAUACAGCAUGAUGCUCAGGUUUGAGGUAUGAUUAAACCCAUCACCCAAGUAGUGAGCAUAGCACUCAACAGGUUUCUCUCAACCCUUGCUUCCCUUCCUCCCUCCCCAGUUUUGUAGUCCCCAGGGUCUAUUGUCCCCAUAUUUAUGUCCAUUUGUACCGGUGAAAACAAUGCAGUUAUUGGUUUUCUGUCUCUGCAUCAUUUCACUGAGUAAUGGCCUCCAGCUU
rnacentral:lncRNA from 1 species